GGCCAAAGUUUAGAGUCAGGUGCACCCCCGC
rnacentral:piRNA from 1 species